GACCCAGUGGUGCAAUGUUCAGCACACCUGCACAAUUCAGUUCUGCAUCGAUUUGCUCUGCAGGAGAUCCCUGUUCGACUCGGGGCUGGGUUG